GGGAGUGACGGGCUUCGAGGAUAGAUAAGGUAAGUAUUGCAAGCCAAGUUUUAAAGAUCUUGUAAAAACUUUAAAAAUUAUAGUCGCAAAACUAUUUAAUAAGGCUAAGGUUGCAAUAGCUAACGCUUUUGCUCCAAUGAGCCUUCAAACCGCUACUGCCUAAUACGCAGCAGCCAUCGAUUCAAUUGAUGCCUAAUAGAUUGAAAUCGGUGUCGUUUAUUAGGCGAAUCCUUUAAGAGCGUUUCCCUUUUUUAGGAGGAUUUUGCAAGGAAACAGAAAAAUUCAUUUUUUUGCUCAACUUAAGUGAAUUUUUCCAAAAAUCGGUUGAGCUAAGCUUGUAGAAAAUAUUUUGCCAAAUUUAUCCCACGCCGGUUCAACUCCGGCCACUUCCACCU
rnacentral:tmRNA from 1 species